UACAAAGCGCCUGGACUCUAUUGAGUUGACGAGGUCUAGAGUUAUCGAAAAAUUCGGCGGAUGCUCUAGUGGAUUUACUUAACCCAUAGUAUUAAUUAAAAAUCAAUAGAAAUAUUGUAACAGAGAUUAAUA
rnacentral:ncRNA from 1 species